rnacentral:rRNA from 1 species
CGGAGGGAAACCGAGUCUUAAUUGGGCGUUAAGUUGCAGGGUAUAGACCCGAAACCCGGUGAUCUAGCCAUGGGCAGGUUGAAGGUUGGGUAACACUAACUGGAGGACCGAACCGACUAAUGUUGAAAAAUUAGCGGAUGACCUGUGGCUGGGGGUGAAAGGCCAAUCAAACCGGGAGAUAGCUGGUUCUCCCCGAAAGCUAUUUAGGUAGCGCCUCGUGAAUUCAUCUCCGGGGGUAGAGCACUGUUUCGGCUAGGGGGCCAUCCCGGCUUACCAACCCGAUGCAAACUGCGAAUACCGGAGAAUGUUAUCACGGGAGACACACGGCGGGUGCUAACGUCCGUCGUGAAGAGGGAAACAACCCAGACCGCCAGCUAAGGUCCCAAAGUCAUGGUUAAGUGGGAAACGAUGUGGGAAGGCCCAGACAGCCAGGAUGUUGGCUUAGAAGCAGCCAUCAUUUAAAGAAAGCGUAAUAGCUCACUGGUCGAGUCGGCCUGCGCGGAAGAUGUAACGGGGCUAAACCAUGCACCGAAGCUGCGGCAGCGACGCUGAUGCGUUGUUGGGUAGGGGAGCGUUCUGUAAGCCUGCGAAGGUGGCCUGUGAGGGUUGCUGGAGGUAUCAGAAGUGCGAAUGCUGACAUAAGUAACGAUAAAGCGGGUGAAAAGCCCGCUCGCCGGAAGACCAAGGGUUCCUGUCCAACGUUAAUCGGGGCAGGGUGAGUCGACCCCUAAGGCGAGGCCGAAAGGCGUAGUCGAUGGGAAACGGGUUAAUAUUCCCGUACUUGGUGUUACUGCGAAGGGGGGACGGAGAAGGCUAUGUUGGCCGGGCGACGGUUGUCCCGGUUUAAGCGUGUAGGUGUGUGUUCCAGGUAAAUCCGGUUCACUUUAACACUGAGGCGUGAUGACGAGGCACUACGGUGCUGAAGCAACAAAUGCCCUGCUUCCAGGAAAAGCCUCUAAGCAUCAGGUAACAUCAAAUCGUACCCCAAACCGACACAGGUGGUCAGGUAGAGAAUACCAAGGCGCUUGAGAGAACUCGGGUGAAGGAACUAGGCAAAAUGGUGCCGUAACUUCGGGAGAAGGCACGCUGACACGUAGGUGAAGUGAUUUACUCAUGGAGCUGAAGUCAGUCGAAGAUACCAGCUGGCUGCAACUGUUUAUUAAAAACACAGCACUGUGCAAACACGAAAGUGGACGUAUACGGUGUGACGCCUGCCCGGUGCCGGAAGGUUAAUUGAUGGGGUCAGCGCAAGCGAAGCUCCUGAUCGAAGCCCCGGUAAACGGCGGCCGUAACUAUAACGGUCCUAAGGUAGCGAAAUUCCUUGUCGGGUAAGUUCCGACCUGCACGAAUGGCGUAAUGAUGGCCAGGCUGUCUCCACCCGAGACUCAGUGAAAUUGAACUCGCUGUGAAGAUGCAGUGUACCCGCGGCAAGACGGAAAGACCCCGUGAACCUUUACUAUAGCUUGACACUGAACAUUGAGCCUUGAUGUGUAGGAUAGGUGGGAGGCUUUGAAGUGUGGACGCCAGUCUGCAUGGAGCCGGCCUUGAAAUACCACCCUUUAAUGUUUGAUGUUCUAACGUGGACCCGUGAUCCGGGUUGCGGACAGUGUCUGGUGGGUAGUUUGACUGGGGCGGUCUCCUCCUAAAGAGUAACGGAGGAGCACGAAGGUUGGCUAAUCCUGGUCGGACAUCAGGAGGUUAGUGCAAUGGCAUAAGCCAGCUUGACUGCGAGCGUGACGGCGCGAGCAGGUGCGAAAGCAGGUCAUAGUGAUCCGGUGGUUCUGAAUGGAAGGGCCAUCGCUCAACGGAUAAAAGGUACUCCGGGGAUAACAGGCUGAUACCGCCCAAGAGUUCAUAUCGACGGCGGUGUUUGGCACCUCGAUGUCGGCUCAUCACAUCCUGGGGCUGAAGUAGGUCCCAAGGGUAUGGCUGUUCGCCAUUUAAAGUGGUACGCGAGCUGGGUUUAGAACGUCGUGAGACAGUUCGGUCCCUAUCUGCCGUGGGCGCUGGAGAACUGAGGGGGGCUGCUCCUAGUACGAGAGGACCGGAGUGGACGCAUCACUGGUGUUCGGGUUGUCAUGCCAAUGGCACUGCCCGGUAGCUAAAUGCGGAAGAGAUAAGUGCUGAAAGCAUCUAAGCACGAAACUUGCCCCGA